rnacentral:lncRNA from 1 species
GUCUUUCAGGAUUCUUGUCAGCAUCACUUUGAAGAAGAGUUUUCAGAGAACAUUGGUGACAGUGGCAGAAGUGACUCCUGGAAGUGGAAAACUUACAAAGUCCUGAAAGGGUAAAUGUAGCGACAUGUCAGUGAUGUUCUGUAUGAAUGUGGUACAAAACAGAGCCUGAGCAUCAGAAGGCAGUGCACCAAGAUUAAACUUGUUCACAUUCAACAAACUCAGCUUUUCCUCCUCUGAGGAAAACGUAGAGACCUGGAAACAUAAUAUUAUUCACACAGGCAGCCCAGCCUGCUGCUGUAUGCAAAGCUGCUUUCGGUGAGAGGUGAGACCCAGUGUGUCUGAAGUCGACAAAGGCUCUCGGGUGCUGGUUCCACCGGAAGAACGUUCUUAAUUUACAUAGGGGAACAUGGAGCCAGAAAAAAC